rnacentral:rRNA from 1 species
UACGGAAGGGGCAAGCGUUGUUCGGAAUCAUUGGGCGUAAAGGGCGCGUAGGUGGUUCUGUAUGUCUACCGUGAAAGCGUACGGCUCAACCGUAUUUUGUCGGUGGAAACUGCAGGACUUGAGGCUGGGAGGGGCUGGUGGAAUUCCCUGUGUAGCGGUGAAAUGCGUAGAGAUGGGGGAGAACACUCGUGGCGAAGGCGGCCAGCUAGACCAGUUCUGACACUGAGGCGCGACAGCGUGGGGAGCAAACGGG